CGCGUAGGCGGUUUGAUAAGUCGGAUGUGAAAGCCCCGGGCUCAACCUGGGAAUUGCAUUCGAUACUGUCUGACUAGAGUAUGAUAGAGGGUAGUGGAAUUCCCGGUGUAGCGGUGAAAUGCAUAGAUAUCGGGAGGAACAUCAGUGGCGAAGGCGACUACCUGGAUCAAUACUGACGCUGAGGUGCGAAAGCGUGGGGAGCAAACA
rnacentral:rRNA from 1 species